UAAGUGGAGAAAGAUAUAAGAAGGUAAGUUUUGUUUUUUUAUACAUAGAGCGUCAUAUUUAUAUAGCUAGCAUUAGCGUGCCUAACUACUACACCAGCUGAGGGAGGAGAGCUUCACGUGAAGAGAAGAGAAAGUGAGGGAAGAACAUUGUAAAGAGAUGACAAAUCAAGUGCAGGCAAAUAACACGGGCCAUAGCUGCCAUGUUUUGUCCUUUCUGUGGCCAACAUCUGGGGACAGUUCAAGUGCUCUGUGGCUCCUGUGGCAAACAUGUACAGUUUUUGGCAGAAGUUGAACACAACAGCAUUCCAUUAGGAGGGUCAGGAACUCACGCUUGGGACCACCAGUGUCCACUCCAUCCUCAGUUUGUCCCUCAUCAUCAGUAAACUUAACCUGCAUCUGAUGAGAGGGGUCGAAUGAGGCCCCUUUGAAGCCGCGGAUUGCUCCAUCCCACACAUUGGCUCUAUUAAUAUUGAACCUGCUGCAAGAGUUUGCUCCGUUUCCUCUUCUGGCUCAGACUGGCUGUCAAUAAUGAUAAGUGCAUACACAGUUGUGUAGUUGCUGCAGUGAGAAGACAGUUGAAUAAUGACUUUCAAAUACAUAAUAUAUGCAUGACAGUCAUAUUUGCAAAAGGAUGUCGAUCCUCUUCCUGUUUUUUUUUAAUACAUUGGGUUCUAAACUGACAACAGCACUUUGUCAUACUCCUGCACAAUCCUUGUAAACAUUUGAAAUGGAUGCAACAAACAAUAUCUGACCUUUGACAAAUAUUUGUGGGUGUUUUUUGUAUCGUCUUCACUAAGAUGUUGUGGGUGUCCUUUGGAAAUGUAUGAAAGUAUAAUUGUUCUGCUUCCUGGCAAUAUUACCCACUGUGAUUGGAGGCUAUGCAAACAACCAAAUGUACAAAUAAAAAUACACACCAAACAACUGUGUCACGAUGCAACUGUCAACAUCGUUUACCUAUAGAAGGUGUUCUGACCCGGGGCAGACUGGACCUCUUCCUGGAAUGGGGUUGGUUCUCCAUCCUACUUUUACCCAAUAAAUAAUGAUGCAGUUGAUCUAAUGACAGUGUCAUUAGCACACAAAGGUAUUUAUUGAUUUCAUGUUCACAAAUUCAAACCUACAUGGUAUAAUUACAUUUGUAAUUAGUCUUACCCGAUCAGACGCUGGUUGUGGGUGCCU